rnacentral:misc_RNA from 1 species
UCCGAGUUGUCCCCGGCAGUCCCAUUAGAGUCCCCAACUAAAUGCUGGCAACAUGCGACAGGGGUUGCGCUCGUUGCGGGACUUAAGCCAACACCUCACGGCGCGAGCUGACGACAGCCAUGCAGCACCUGUGCUAGCCCCUUGCGGACACGGGCUUUCACCCGCUUUAACUAGCAUGUCAAGCCCAGGUAAGGUUCUUCGCGUUGCAUCGAAUUAAUCCACAUAAUCCACCGCUUGUGCGGGUCCCCGUCAAUUCCUUUGAGUUUUAACCUUGCGGCCGUACUCCCCAGGCGGUCGACUUCACGCGUUAGCUUCGUUACUGAGAGUGUCAAACCCCCAACAACCAGUCGACAUCGUUUAGGGCGUGGACUAC